AGCUUUGCGCAGUGGCAGUAUCAUAGCCAAUGAGGUUUAUCCGAGGCGUGAUUGUUGCUAAUUGGAAGUCAUUAAGUCAUCUGUGUGGACAGUCCACUUACCUGGCUGUCCACCUGACAAACUCUCUUUAACCCUACAAGA